rnacentral:rRNA from 1 species
AGUGAACGCUGGCGGUAUGCCUAACACAUGCAAGUCGAACGGCAGCACAGUAAGAGCUUGCUCUUACGGGUGGCGAGUGGCGGACGGGUGAGGAAUACAUCGGAAUCUACUUUUUCGUGGGGGAUAACGUAGGGAAACUUACUCUAAUACCGCAUACGACCUACUGGUGAAAGCAGGGGAUCUUCGGACCUUUCGCGAUUGAAUGAGCCGAUGUCGGAUUAGCUAGUUGGCGGGGUAAAGGCCCACCAAGGCGACGAUCCGUAGCUGGUCUGAGAGGAUGAUCAGACACACUGGAACUGAGACACGGUACAGACUCCUACGGGAGGCAGCAGUGGGGAAUAUUGGACAAUGGGCGCAAGCCUGAUACAGCAAUACCGCGUGGGUGAAGAAGGCCUUCGGGUUGUAAAGCCCUUUUGUUGGGAAAGAAAAGCAGCAGGUUAAUACCCCGCUGUUCUGACGGUACCCAAAGAAUAAGCACCGGCUAACUUCGUG